AGCGAACGCUGGCGGCAGGUCUAACACAUGCAAGUCGAACGAACCUUUCGGGGUUAGUGGCGGACGGGGGAGUAACACGUGGGAACGUGCCUUUAGGUUCGGAAUAACUCAGGGAAACUUGUGCUAAUACCGAAUGUGCCCUUAGGGGGAAAGAUUAAUCGCCUUUAGAGCGGCCCGCGUCUGAUUAGCUAGUUGGUUGAGGUAAUGGCUCACCAAGGCGACGAUCAGUAGCUGGUCUGAGAGGAUGGUCAGCCACAUUGGGACUGAGACACGGCCCAAACUCCUACGGGAGGCAGCAGUGGGGAAUCUUGCGCAAUGGGCGAAAGCCUGACGCAGCCAUGCCGCGUGAAUGAUGAAGGUCUUAGGAUUGUAAAAUUCUUUCACCGGGGACGAUAAUGACGGUACCCGGAGAAGAAGCCCCGGCUAACUUCGUG
rnacentral:rRNA from 1 species